rnacentral:tRNA from 1 species
GGUUGUGGCUCAAUGGCAGAGCAUCUGUCUUGCAUGCAGAAGGUUCCAGGUUCAAUCUCCAGUGACAAACA